CCUACGGGUGGCAGCAGUGAGGAAUAUUGGUCAAUGGACGAGAGUCUGAACCAGCCAAGUAGCGUGAAGGAUGACUGCCCUAUGGGUUGUAAACUUCUUUUAUAAAGGAAUAAAACGAGGCACGUGUGCCUUUUUGCAUGUCCUUUAUGAAUAAGGAUCGGCUAACUCCGUGCCAGCAGCCGCGGUAAUACGGAGGAUCCGAGCGUUAUCCGGAUGUAUUGGGUUAAAAGGGAGCGUAGAUGGGUUGUUAAGUCAGUUGUGAAAGUUUUCGGCUCAACCGUAAAAUUGCAAUUGAUACUGGCAGUCUUGAGAACAGUAGAGGUAGGCGGAAUUCGUGGUGUAGCGGUGAAAUGCUGAGAUAUCACGAAGAACCCCGAUUGCGAAGGCAGCUUACUAACCUGUGACUGACAUUGAUGCACCAAAGCGUAGGUACCCACCUGGAGUAGAUACCCUGGUAGUC
rnacentral:rRNA from 1 species